rnacentral:lncRNA from 1 species
AUGAUUAAUGUGAUGGUGAAUGUACAAUGGGAAAGUCCCCUAUUCUGUACAUCUUUCGUUGUGGUUUAUGAGAAAAAAUUUCAGACCACAGGUUUUACUGGUUUUAGUCAGAUUAAUGAUAUGCGUCUUUCAUUUCUUAUAAUGCUGAACGCUGUGCUGCAGAUGGCUGUCAUGGGCAGAGAUAGGGCAUUCAUCAGACCCUCAGUUCAUGUGUCAGCAUUUCCCCCCAAGCUUUUUCCACCACAGACAGUUUCAGAUAUAUUGUUCAGUGCAAAGAAGGAUUCCCCCCUUCCCUCUCUUUACUAUUAUCAUUAUUAUUAUUAUUUGUUCUGCAAUAUUCUGUGCAUCAUGUUACAUUUGUACUAAAAAGGUUGGAGACCACGUUGGAAAUCUUGGUUCUAUUUUUCAUUUAUUUUUCAUUUUAAUUUAAAACUGGAAAUAAAGUUUCAAGAUUUUGAAGCAAAGAAGCAUUAUAAUGUGAAAAGAAAUAACAAAUAUUUAAGAUUCUGCACAAUAAUUUGUGAUUUGAUCAUAUGAAUCUUUGUAUAGAUGGUCAGGUGUUCUUCAGCUGAAGAUCACAAUGCUCUUUAGAAAUAUUUUCAGCUGAUAUGCUGUAUUUCUUACAGUCUGUGAUGUGUUUAUGUGGUAUGAAUGAUAUGCAUGCAUUGUGUUUGAUAUUCACGUCAGGUCUUCUUUAGUUUUCAUUCCUUUAUCCUGAAGUAAAGACAUGAAAAUAAACUGUCUUCUUUCAGCUAUCUCUCAUGGUGCACAAACAUAAUUCAAAGCUGGGCAUCAACAUCCAGAGGCAAACAGAUUGCUUAACCAGAGCCAUUAUCUAGAGUCACUGACUCCUCUUGAAUUUGAAUGCAGUUUUUUUUUUUGUAUUAUUUAGAUGAAUGACUCAGUGGUUGAACGAACAUUAUGAUUGGCUUUAGGGGUGGAUGAAUAGGAAAAUAACAUCCCGUCUUGGUAAACCUGCAUCUCCUAAAUGAAGGGAUGCAUUUCAGUGGUAUAUAAAGACAGUGAAUGUAAAAGCAAGUUGGUUAUUAGAACUAAAGCCUGUGUAGAUUUGCAUCAAGAGGUUUGCAUAACUGAAGCUUUGUUUUCAUGUGUGUGUGUGUGAAUGUUUUUACUUUUUUGGAUGCAUGUGGACAGUGACAGUGCUGAGCGUGCAGCAUGCUGUGAUACAGAUCUACAGGAGCAUGUUUGAUUACCGUACUAAAUGUCUCAGCACUGAUCUAAUGAUAUUACAGAGGCUUCCCUCAGAGACUGAUAGAUUAUGACUGGCAUUGAGAGUUACACACUGCAGAGGUGUUGAAUGGGGAUUCCCUUUCGGUGAGCUGAUGUAACUGAAGUGAUUGCUUAUGGAGCUGUCGUUUGCCACUUCUAACAUGCCCACACCAACACUCUUCUCACUUAUAUCAUAUGCUCCAGUCUGGAGAUGAGUGUGUUGAUAUAGAUACCUAUACUGCAAAAGGCUUUAAAGGGACAGUUCCCCCAAAUUAAAAUUCUUUCAUCAUUUACUCACAUGUUGUUCCAAACCUGCUUUUCUUUCAUCUGUGGAAUAUGAAAGAAGACUGUUGGUAACCUAACAGUUUCAGAUCCCAUUGACUUUUUCAUUAUUAUUAUUACUGUAAUAUAAAAGUGAAUAGUGACCAUGAGCUUCCAAAUACGACAAAACAUACCAUAAAACCUUCAAAUGUGACUUUAAUCUCAUCUGCUUCAAAUCUCAUUCUUGUUCGCAUACAGUACAGUAUAUUCUAAUAAUGUGUCAUUGGUACAUUAAUAACAAUGUGCCAAAUUUGAAUAUGCAUAUAUGAAAUUUGUGAGCUACGUAAACUUGAAUGUGGUCUUUUUCUCACACAAAGCUAUCGUAUACUAAUGUAGCCUCACAUUUACUCUUUUUAUAGCAGACACUGGAUCGUGCAUCUCUGCACAGGGACACUCAGGUUUCUGCAGAGCAGAGCACGAGCUGAAUUUAAACAUUAUGUAGUUGAUUUCCGGAAAAACCAACACUUCAUUUAGUCAAAAUAUUGACAUUUCCCCUGGCAUUGAUGUUUGUUUUUGUCAACAUAAUGAAAUCUAAGGGGCCGCUUACAAGAGUGGCUCCAUUCCAGAUACUGUGUUUACUGUGGUUUGGCACAACAGACUGUUUGAUUGUCCAUUGAUUUCUUGCAUUUUCUGCACAGAAUGUUAUUUAUAAUUGUUACAGUAUCAUUUGCAUCUAAAUAUUUUCUUGAUGAAUUUGAUCAAGAUACAGUGUUAUGACAUUUUCCUAUAUUUCAGUUUGUUUUCAAUGCAAAUGCUUAUUUAUUAAUGAAAAUAAAUAAAUAGUACGCUGUGUGUACUGACUAUAUGUAUGGGCAUAUUGCACAAUGUCAUCUGCUGAAGUCUGUAUGGUUAUAUGUUAAUUGUUUCUCCCAAGAAUUUCACUCACCAAGGCACAUGUGCUGUGGGGAUGUGACAAUAAAAGUGACUUGACUUGAAAAAAAAAAGCUUAUGAAUGUUGCUUCUCCUCAUUGUUUUGUAAAGAAUGAUGAUUUUAUAUUAAACCGCAUACCUUUCUCAGUUUAUCAGAUCUGCGUGGCAAGUGUGGUAUUUUGCUAGAUAUAAUGCAAUGUUUCUUCAUGUCUCAGAGUAUAAUAAUAGUUCCUGAUCCACUGCAGGUCAGGUGACAUGCAGGCCUCUGUGCAAAUUUUCCACUGAACACACAGUGACAUCUAGUGCUCUCCUUUAGGAACUGUACUAUAUUAUACUGCAAACUAAUCGAGUCAAAUGUCGGGAUGCUGCUUUGGCAAUUUCAUGAGCCAGUCACAUCUGACAUUGUGGAAAAUUACAUUCACACACAUUCAGUGUUAUAAUAUGCUCUGUACAGUAGUUGUUCUCUCUGUUGAGUCUUGUUAUUUUGUCAGGGUGUAUAAUGAGGCUCUGUCAUGUUGAUUAUUACUCAUUUGUGUAUUUGUUUGUUUAUGGUUGUGCUCACUGUAUUCAGACUACCCUUGGCUUCACACAGCACACUCAUCCUCUCUCACUUUAGUGCUUGAGCCAAUAAGAGCUGAUAGUUAAAGUCACAUGACCCAAGUCUCUUUGCCUCCACUCUUUCAGACCCAUUUAUACACACCAUAGACAACUACUCCAUGAGAAAGAAAAAGCCCUACAGCGAGAGAAAGAGGCUAGAUAAUGAAUAUGUGCAUAUGAGCAACAGUAUAUGUUUUUCAAAAAUAUAUAUUUUUGCAUCAUUUCAGUCUUAGACUGUUAUAUUACUAGAUGAUGUAAGAUUUUAAGUAGUUACCAGAAGGGCUGUGUAGAAUUUGGAAUUGAGUGAAGAAUGCAAAUUCAAUUCCAAUUCAUUUUCUCAGUGAAGUUUGAUCUUUUUUUGAAGUAUUUUUAAAGGGUUUCCAAAGCACUGUUUAUUAUAAGCUAAGUUGGUCUAAUUUCAUAGAAGU